rnacentral:lncRNA from 1 species
GGAGCCUAAACUUUCGUUGUGUGAACACAGGUUCACAGGAGGACGUUUCGGUGAGGACGAUCUCUUUACAGACCAAGUUCAGGUGCGUAGCUGUGGUUAAUGAGAGGCUGGAGCUUCCUGUGUGACAGCACGCGUCCUCACAGCGAUGGCGAUGCGUGCUUAUGUAAGAGGCAGCAACUCUUUCAGCUGACAGUAUCUACACAAAGAGAAAGCAGCGAGGGAGAGGGAGGAGAAGCCAACCAAUCAGGACGAGGCCUGUGAGGCUUGUCUGGGACUUACACACAUUAACCUUAUUCUACAGCCCACGGUGGCUGCAAUUAGGCAUGUUAUAUUAUGCAUACCUCUAUGAGGAGUCUCAGUCAUCCAGAGACCAGUCACAUCAGGAAAAUCACCUCGUUGACGUGUGCUGUGGGCAACAUUUUAGAACGAUGACGCUGGACGAAGCCCUGGCUGCUUUGGUUUGGAGCCAGAAGCCUCUUGUCUAUGGCUUUUGCAGAAAAGUUUUAAUUAUUGAUUAACAGAUUUGAAAACAAAUUGAGGUGAUUUAACAUUGUUCUUCCUAGAUUUCUAAACUUCCUUUCUAUUGCAUUUAAAAAUAUGAUAUUUUGGUGCAGAAAGCUCGAUUUGAAGGUCUUGUUUUGUACCAAAAAGCAGCAGCGAGCGUUGGACCGAGGAUUUCUAAACAUGUAAAACUACAAUAACAAGCACUGACGUUCACUGUCAACACUCAUUUAUUCACCAACGUCUUUAUUUUUAACAAAUAGAAUCAUCAGAGAGCAGAAACACAGAGAACCAACAAGACAGCAAUAAAGCUUACUCUCUCUCUAUGUGUGUGUGUGUU